UCUACCGUUCACCCAUCCGUGUAUUCAUCCAACCAACCAUUUAGCCUAUAUUUUUUGAGUACUUUCUAUCACCUAAGUUCCAUUCUAGACUCUAGCUCUCCGUUGAACCCAUGCUUAAGUCUAAUCGUGUUCUAAGAAACACACUAUUGUAGUCAUCAGUGGCUUAUGUAGUGGCCUUGUCUAUUUUUCUGAAUCUACUUGAUAAUUGUAGAACAGUGUAAACCUUAUCCUCUGCCCAACAGUUCAAGAGCCAAUGUCUCAGUUCAAGUACUUGAGGUGUUGCCAAUGUCUUUUAGGGAAAAGAAUUGAAAAAAGGGGUCAAAAAGAGUGCCCACCAUGUCUGGGUA
rnacentral:lncRNA from 1 species